GCUGGUACACAGGCAUAAAAGAAGGGCUGGUCUUGUUUUUUGUCAGAAUGGAAGUUAAUACCCAUGUGAUGAGUUUUUGACGAUGAUCUAUGUUUGCUUUGGGAAUAAGUUGAUCCUUGUACAUGUGAAACUUGUCUUGGUCAUUUUCAAGAUGUAAUUUCAUAUUUGACUCAGUUAAGGAAGCUACAGAGUACCCUGUCCUGCUCCCUGAAGUCCACGAAAGCUGCUCUUCUCUGAGUGAGAUGGAAGGAGACAGAGACUGAAUGUCCAUAGUAUUAAGUGAGCUGGGAGACCAAUCAAGAGGCUGCAUUUGGAAUAUAUUUGAUCUGUAUUUCCUGCUUCUGUGCUUUUCACAGGAAGGUGGUUUCAUAAGAAACGUAUGUUUCCUACAGGCUCUAAUAUGAUGGGAGCCCAAAUCUUCCCUGCAAAAUUGCUGCAAGCUAAUUUUCACUGGUCCUCUAAAAUUCAGCUCCAGCAUAACCUUCAUGAAACCAUUCCUGAGAUCCUAAGGCUGGUGAUGUCACAGCACCACUUCAGUAGUGACAAGUUUCUAGACAUUGCCAUAUGUCCCCAGAGGGCAAAAAUCACCCCCAGCUGGAAGGCACUGGACUAGAUGAGCAGCUGCAUCAUUAAUUAAUGCCUACCAGUGAAGGCUAUAUAAUGGCUUCCAUAAUCUUUGUGAUUUCUUGGAUCCAAAACAAAAUCUGUGUAUUUAUUUCUUUGAAAACAUCAUUUGUUGACCGUCCUUUCACUGCCAUGGAAUGAUUUGCCUUCUCAAUCCAGUGGAUUUUAUUGGGAGCUUGCAUUUUCUGUGCCACUUUCUCCAACAAGUUCUAAGAGGAAAAAGAAGAGGAUACUAGACUAAUGCUGUAUUGUUUAAUAAAAGAUCCCCCCCAUACUGCAUUCA